UGACUNGAGUGCAGAAGGGGAGAGUGGAAUNCCAUGUGUAGCGGUGAAAUGCGUAGAUAUAUGGAGGAACACCAGUGGCGAAAGCGGCUCUCUGNUCUGUCACUGACGCUGAGGCUCGAAAGCGUGGGUAGCGAACAGGAUUAGAUACCCUGGUAGUNCACGCCGUAAACGAUGAGUGCUAGGUGUUAGGCCCUUUCCGGGGCUUAGUGCCGGAGCUAACGCAAUAAGCACUCCGCCUGGGGAGUACGACCGCAAGGUUGAAACUCAAAGGAAUUGACGGGGGCCCGCACAAGCGGUGGAGCAUGUGGUUUAAUUCGAAGCAACGCGAAGAACCUUACCAGGUCUUGACAUCCCGAUGCUAUUCUUAGAGAUAGGAAGUUACUUCGGUACAUCGGAGACAGGUGGUGCAUGGUUGUCGUCAGCUCGUGUCGUGAGAUGUUGGGUUAAGUCCCGCAACGAGCGCAACCCUUAUUGUUAGUUGCCAUCAUUAAGUUGGGCACUCUAGCGAGACUGCCGGUAAUAAACCGGAGGAAGGUGGGGAUGACGUCAAAUCAUCAUGCCCCUUAUGACCUGGGCUACACACGUGCUACAAUGGUCGGUACAACGAGUUGCGAGCCGGUGACGGCAAGCUAAUCUCUGAAAGCCGAUCUCAGUUCGGAUUGGAGGCUGCAACUCGCCU
rnacentral:rRNA from 1 species